CCAAAGGUGAAGCUUAGAAGCGUGGUAUAUAAAUAUGAGUAAUCAUGUUUUGAAUAGGGAUGACUAUGCCUAUUUGCCAGAGGAAUACAUGCAUCUUAUUGGCAAUUAACGUCAUCCCUUGGGUAUAUAAGAAGCCACAUUGCUACUUUAGAUCGCCCCUGAUGAAGACACUGGUAGACUGGAGUGUCGAACCGUUGGGUCUUGGUUACAAUUCGACUGGGCUUUGUAUUCAUUUAUAUAAACCAG